rnacentral:lncRNA from 1 species
GUACCUCUCCUUCUAUUGCCGCCGAAUUUAACCGAGGAAUCGGCCUCCGAGUCGCGCGCCAAAUCCAUGCAAUAAAACCUAAAACUCGGCGAUCCGAGCGGUUCCUCAUCCGCCGCGAAAGACCGCAACUUCUUCCCCUUCUCGUCGUCCUCCUCCUGCCCCCUGAAUCCUAACCCCCUCUUCUCCUCCUCUUCCUCCUUCUCCAGCACAGCCGUUGCCGCCGCCGCCCCGGUCUCCUUCUC